UUCUCCGUUGGUGAACCGGCGGAGGCAUCAUUACCGAGUUUACAACUCCCAAACCCCAUGUGAACCUUACAAAACGUUGCUUCGGCGGGAUGCCCCGGGCGCGAGCCGCAAGGCCUCAGCGCCGGAACCAGGCGCCCGCCGGAGGCCCAAACAAAACUCUUGUUUUUGUAGAAUCUUCUGAGUGACCUUUUAGGUAAACAAUGAAUCAAAACUUUCAACAACGGAUCUCUUGGUUCUG
rnacentral:misc_RNA from 1 species